rnacentral:rRNA from 1 species
AUUGAACGCUGGCGGCAGGCCUAACACAUGCAAGUCGAACGAGUGGCGGACGGGUGAGUAAUGUCUGGGAAACUGCCUGAUCGAGGGGGAUAACUACUGGAAACGGUAGCUAAUACUGCAUACACUCAGAUCUGGCCAUAUGGGAUGAGGUUGUGGGUGGGGUAACGGCUCACCAAGGCGACGAUCCCCAGCUGGUCUGAGAGGAUGACCGGCCACACUGUAACUGAGACACGGUCCAGACUCCUACGGGAGGCAGCAGUGGGGAAUAUUGCACAAUGGGCGCAAGCCUGAUGCAGCCAUGCCGCGUGUAUGAAGAAGGCCUUCGGGUUGUAAAGUACUUUCAGCGGGGAGGCGUUACCCGCAGAAGAAGCACCGGCUAACUCCGUGCCAGCAGCCGCGGUAAUAC